GCAUCUGUAUAUUUUGCAGUCUAGCAGUACUGCAAAAUGAAGUUGUUUCCCAGAGGUCGAGGAGGGAUGAGGACGGAUGAAGCCAAGCAGCACUUUGCAAGAGGGAAACUGCUGCUGUUCAAGCAUGCCCCUGACACCGUGGGGAAGGGAGGUUUGGGAGCUGCUGGAGGAAUGGGAAGUGUCUGAAGUCCGUGGGCCCGUGAGCAGAGCCCUCUCCUUCCUCCACACCAGCUUCCUCAGCAUCACCAGGUCCUCAGGUUUAAGCGAGUGCCCCCAAAGUCCCAACGCGCUGCACAGCACUUCGUAACGCUGCCUGAUCUGGGCAAGGUCGUCCACCCGGUUGUCCGUCCCACCGUGUGUGUUGAUUUCCGCAAGUGCAGUUCAAUUACUUUUGUUCAUCCUUCCAACGCAGGGGGAAGCUGACGAUGAACCAGAACUGAGCACGAGAGGAAGCAAUCGGCAGAAAGUGAUCUGAGGACACGUUGUCCUGUAUAAAGUCAAGUCUGCAGAGUAAAGAAGCUGCAAAGUUUUGGUACAACAAGGGAAAGCAUGAGGGAAAAAGGUUUCAAAUGCUCAUUACACUGUGGGGUUUGGUGUGGUGAAGCAACAGCUUUUGGAAAAGGAACAAAAGAGUUGCGACAAUCUGGGGAGGAAAAAACUUAAAAAUAUCUGUAGUGUGCUCAAAAUUAACUAGAGCUUGUAGCAAAGCAAGAUCCUCCUACAGGAGAGCUGCCAGCAGCAAUAGCAGGUGUUUGGCAGGAGGAAGAUCCCCAAGAAGAGGUGAGUGAUUCAAGCUGCCUUACAGAAAUUAAGGCUACAUGAUUUUCUGUCUCGUUUACCUGGCUGUAAAGUCAGCAGUACAGACCCGCUGCAACACGAAGCCCCACAGGCACCCAGCUACACCUGAGGACCGUGUCACUGCAGGAGCUUUCAGGGGUUUGUUUGUACCCAGGUGGUUUCCAUCUUCCCGCCAAGCCACUUUUCGGACAGGCAGCUCGGACCCCAGCGGCUGCCCCAUGGCUGCUGAGCCCUCUGGUGAUGCUGCCCCACGCUCCCCUCCAUGAGCUGGCUCUCCUACAGCUGCUUCCAACAGCGUUAAGCCUGAAGAGGUGACCUUAAGGCAAAAUGCGUACCUGGGCUGGUAAAACUUGACAGAAUCGCAGAACGGGUAAGGUUGGAAGGGGCCUCUGGAGAUACCUAAUCCGACCUCCCUGCUCAAGCAGGGUCACCUGGACACUAGCUAUUAAAUAGACCCAAACAUACUGGUAAAAGCAAGGCAAAGCUAAGAUGCAUUUUUUUAAUUGUUAUUCCAGCAGAAUAUCCCUGUCACUCGGAAGCACAGACCGAUCCCCGGGGAUUGGCACAUUGGCCAGUUACGGCUCCCUCUUGGCUGGGUCCUGCGGAAGAGCGGAGCUGCCGGCCAGCACCCCGCAGCUGCUCAGCGUCCCCGUGUUUGGGAGCGAGGAGGGACACGCUGGAAGGAGGAUAAACCCUCAUUUUCCUCCUGCCUCCCUGCAUCCAACAAACCUUCAAAAAUCUCAGACGGAUGGUGAGAGCGUGUUUAUUAGGAGCGAAGUCGUGAGGACGCUUUGGCACAUCUCAGUCACUCCUGCAGAGCGUGUUUAGCACUACGGAUAUUACUGCUUUAUCGAAGGAUGGCGCUUCUCUGUACGUGUGCAUCUGGGGUUUCCGCUGCGUUGUGCCUUGCUCUUCAGCCCCCAUCCCCUUGCUCCGGUAACAUCCAUCAUAAGUUUCUGAGACUCUUCUAAUUUUGGAGGCCUUUAGCAAAUCAGAC